rnacentral:rRNA from 1 species
UUAAGCGACUAAGCGUACACGGUGGAUGCCCUGGCAGUCAGAGGCGAUGAAGGACGUGCUAAUCUGCGAAAAGCGUCGGUAAGGUGAUAUGAACCGUUAUAACCGGCGAUGUCCGAAUGGGGAAACCCAGUGUGAUUCGUCACACUAUCGUUAACUGAAUACAUAGGUUAACGAGGCGAACCGGGGGAACUGAAACAUCUAAGUACCCCGAGGAAAAGAAAUCAACCGAGAUUCCCCCAGUAGCGGCGAGCGAACGGGGAGCAGCCCAGAGUCUGAAUCAGCUUGUGUGUUAGUGGAACGGUCUGGAAAGUCCGACGGUACAGGGUGAUAGUCCCGUACACCAAAAUGCACAGGUUGUGAACUCGAAGAGUAGGGCGGGACACGUGGUAUCCUGUCUGAAUAUGGGGGGACCAUCCUCCAAGGCUAAAUACUCCUGACUGACCGAUAGUGAACCAGUACCGUGAGGGAAAGGCGAAAAGAACCCCGGCGAGGGGAGUGAAAAAGAACCUGAAACCGUGUACGUACAAGCAGUGGGAGCACCUUCGGGUGUGACUGCGUACCUUUUGUAUAAUGGGUCAGCGACUUAUAUUCUGUAGCAAGGUUAACCGUAUAGGGGAGCCGCAGGGAAACCGAGUCUUAACUGGGCGUUAAGUUGCAGGGUAUAGACCCGAAACCCGGUGAUCUAGCCAUGGGCAGGUUGAAGGUUGGGUAACACUAACUGGAGGACCGAACCGACUAAUGUUGAAAAAUUAGCGGAUGACUUGUGGCUGGGGGUGAAAGGCCAAUCAAACCGGGAGAUAGCUGGUUCUCCCCGAAAGCUAUUUAGGUAGCGCCUCGUGAACUCAUCUUCGGGGGUAGAGCACUGUUUCGGCUAGGGGGUCAUCCCGACUUACCAACCCGAUGCAAACUACGAAUACCGAAGAAUGUUAUCACGGGAGACACACGGCGGGUGCUAACGUCCGUCGUGAAGAGGGAAACAACCCAGACCGCCAGCUAAGGUCCCAAAGUCAUGGUUAAGUGGGAAACGAUGUGGGAAGGCACAGACAGCCAGGAUGUUGGCUUAGAAGCAGCCAUCAUUUAAAGAAAGCGUAAUAGCUCACUGGUCGAGUCGGCCUGCGCGGAAGAUGUAACGGGGCUAAACCAUGCACCGAAGCUGCGGCAGCGACACUAUGUGUUGUUGGGUAGGGGAGCGUUCUGUAAGCCUGCGAAGGUGACCUGUGAGGGUUGCUGGAGGUAUCAGAAGUGCGAAUGCUGACAUAAGUAACGAUAAAGCGGGUGAAAAGCCCGCUCGCCGGAAGACCAAGGGUUCCUGUCCAACGUUAAUCGGGGCAGGGUGAGUCGACCCCUAAGGCGAGGCCGAAAGGCGUAGUCGAUGGGAAACAGGUUAAUAUUCCUGUACUUGGUGUUACUGCGAAGGGGGGACGGAGAAGGCUAUGUUAGCCGGGCGACGGUUGUCCCGGUUUAAGCAUGUAGGCUGGUUAUCCAGGCAAAUCCGGAUAAUCAAGGCUGAGGUGUGAUGACGAGGCACUACGGUGCUGAAGUAACAAAUGCCCUGCUUCCAGGAAAAGCCUCUAAGCAUCAGGUAACAUCAAAUCGUACCCCAAACCGACACAGGUGGUCAGGUAGAGAAUACCAAGGCGCUUGAGAGAACUCGGGUGAAGGAACUAGGCAAAAUGGUGCCGUAACUUCGGGAGAAGGCACGCUGGUGUGUAGGUGAAGUCCCUGCGGAUGGAGCUGAGACCAGUCGAAGAUACCAGCUGGCUGCAACUGUUUAUUAAAAACACAGCACUGUGCAAACACGAAAGUGGACGUAUACGGUGUGACGCCUGCCCGGUGCCGGAAGGUUAAUUGAUGGGGUUAUCCGUAAGGAGAAGCUCUUGAUCGAAGCCCCGGUAAACGGCGGCCGUAACUAUAACGGUCCUAAGGUAGCGAAAUUCCUUGUCGGGUAAGUUCCGACCUGCACGAAUGGCGUAAUGAUGGCCAGGCUGUCUCCACCCGAGACUCAGUGAAAUUGAACUCGCUGUGAAGAUGCAGUGUACCCGCGGCAAGACGGAAAGACCCCGUGAACCUUUACUAUAGCUUGACACUGAACAUUGAGCCUUGAUGUGUAGGAUAGGUGGGAGGCUUUGAAGCGUGGACGCCAGUCUGCGUGGAGCCAACCUUGAAAUACCACCCUUUAAUGUUUGAUGUUCUAACGUUGGCCCCUUACCGGGGUUGCGGACAGUGUCUGGUGGGUAGUUUGACUGGGGCGGUCUCCUCCCAAAGCGUAACGGAGGAGCACGAAGGUUAGCUAAUCCUGGUCGGACAUCAGGAGGUUAGUGCAAUGGCAUAAGCUAGCUUGACUGCGAGCGUGACGGCGCGAGCAGGUGCGAAAGCAGGUCAUAGUGAUCCGGUGGUUCUGAAUGGAAGGGCCAUCGCUCAACGGAUAAAAGGUACUCCGGGGAUAACAGGCUGAUACCGCCCAAGAGUUCAUAUCGACGGCGGUGUUUGGCACCUCGAUGUCGGCUCAUCACAUCCUGGGGCUGAAGUAGGUCCCAAGGGUAUGGCUGUUCGCCAUUUAAAGUGGUACGCGAGCUGGGUUUAGAACGUCGUGAGACAGUUCGGUCCCUAUCUGCCGUGGGCGCUGGAGAAUUGAGGGGGGCUGCUCCUAGUACGAGAGGACCGGAGUGGACGCAUCACUGGUGUUCGGGUUGUCAUGCCAAUGGCACUGCCCGGUAGCUAAAUGCGGAAGAGAUAAGUGCUGAAAGCAUCUAAGCACGAAACUUGCCCCGAGAUGAGUUCUCCCUGAGACUUUAAGUCUCCUGAAGGAACGUUGAAGACGACGACGUUGAUAGGCCGGGUGUGUAAGCGCAGCGAUGCGUUGAGCUAACCGGUACUAAUGAACCGUGAGGCUUAACCUU